rnacentral:lncRNA from 1 species
ACCUGUGCCUCAGUUCCUCACGUGACCAGGGGGAUGAUCACUAGUGAUUUCUACCACAUGGGGCUCUCGGGACAAUACAGUUAAAUGCACUAACAUAUAUAAGUGUCUGCACAUAGUGCCACAUAAAUGUUUGCUAGUAUAAUGAUUACUUCCUGGGAACAUGAAGCUCUAAAGUCUGAAUAGAGGAUGGAGAUAGUUGAAGAAAAGUUUUUAGGCAGUUCCCGUUAUGUCUCAGUGGAAAUGAAUCCAAUUAGGAACCACGAGGUUGUGGGUUUGAUUCCUGGCCUCGCUCAAUGGGUUAAGGAUCUGGUGUUGCCGUGAGCUGUGGUAUAGGUCGAAGAUGCGGCUUGGAUUUGACAUUGCUGUGGCUGUGCUGUAGGCCAGCAGCUGUGGCUCCUAUUCAACCCCUAGCCUGGGAACCUCCGUGUGCCUUGAGUGCAGCCCUCGAAAGACAAAAGAUGAAAGAAAAGAAAAGAAAAGUUUUUAGAAAUAGAUUUUACAUUAAAACUUUGCUUUAAUUCUGUGCCGUAUUCGAGACCACUUUCUAACGUUGUUCUUUAGGGAAUUCUAUUCAAAGCCCUCUUGGAUGAGUUGAAACCAGGGUGGAGCCUCCUUGUAUCCAAUUCUGUGCUGUGGUUAACAGUGUCAUGGAGAAUUUCCAGGGUAUUAAUAAUGAGCUAAUACACCUAUGAAUGUUAAAUGUCUUGGAAGCAGUUUCCUGAUGAGCAAAUAGCAGAUGUGACAAUGGCCAUGGUCUAAUUGCCCGAGAGGCAGUUAAAUAUAGUUUUUAGUCCUUUUCUAAGCAGUUAUUUGAAAGCCGAAAUAUUUUCCCUAAAGGCCUGUCAGUUGUUCUUAGCCACCAAAUGAAGUGUGGCAUAGAGUGCAAAGGGUGAGUGCUUUGGGGUGUGUUUCCUUCCUAUACAUCUAAUUUAUCUUUGUGAGUUGUUGGGGUUUUGGUUUUGUAUAUUUCCAUGUGUGACUUUUUGUGCAGGGAAGUAGCUUUUAUUGUCCUAUAAGUUGCAGUAAAAAAAAAUAACAUGAGUUACCUUUUACUAAGAUCUUUCUAUGUGUCAAGCACCAUAUUGAAGGCUUUAUAUGUUUCAUCACAUGUAAUCUUCAUAAUAAUCCAUCAAAGGAAGUACCACUGUUUUCCAUUUGAAGAAAUGGAAACCAUUUGAAGAAGCUGAGGCUUAGAGGGGUUACCUUGCCCCAGGUUCACCAAGUGACAGGAACACAAAAGCCCACUUACCGUGAUCCUCAAAUGUUCUUUUAGUUCCGUAAUUAAAAUCAGUCCUACCUGCUGCUAGGGGUUUGGAGGUGUCUUGCAAGGUGUAGAUUGAACUGCUCUUAGACCUGUAAUUCUUUUAUUAAAUAGUGUUGAGUCCAAUCUGAGGUGUUAGGAAGUUGUCAUUUUCAUACCAGGAUUGUUGGUGUUUCACUGAGUAGGGCCUUCCCUGGGUGCCUGACAGCCGACCUGCAUGUGUAGGUUCUCUGGGGAUCAAGGUUCAUCCCUGGAGGAGACCUGGGGACAGACUUUGUGAAUCACUGAGACCUAGGCCAUGGGCUCUGGGUAGCUCACAUGUCCAUUUAGCAAAGAGCACUUCACUACCUUGAGGGCAAGAAGGAAAAUACCGUUUGUGUAUUUAUUUAUUUAUGUAUUCAUUUAUUUUGCUUUUUUUCCCAGACCACACCUGCAGCAUAUGGAAAUUCCCAGGCUAGGGGUUGAAACGGAGCUGUUGCUUCCAGCCUAAGCCAGAGCCACAGCAACGCCAGAUCCGAGCUGCGUCUUCAACCUACACCACAGCUUACGGCAAUGCCAGAUCCUUAACCCACUGAGCGAGGCCAAGGAUCAAAACUGCGUCCUCAUGGAUGCUUGUCAGUCUCGUUACUGCCACAAGGGGAACUUCCAAAAUGCCAUUUAAAUAUGGUUUAAAGCUUGAGGAGGGAGGAGAAAGGCAUGAAAAUUACCAGAGACAUUAAGAAAAUCUCCAGUGAAAAUGAAAAAUUAACGUGGUGCAAUGGUCGUGUCUACUGUGUGUAUUUUCAGGAGUGAUUCUUUUAUGCGACAGAGAUGCUGACAUAUCAGUGACUAAAGUUUUACAACAAUCAGAGAGGUUGUGCCCUGUGGGGAGUCUUCCUCUAUAUUUAGAAUAAAACUUUGUGUUUUUUACUGUCAGGACGUGAGCUUAAUUAUAGCAUGUUGCAAACUUUGCCUUUGUGAGGGUGUGUGGGGUGGGGAGGAACUUCUGGAGAAGUUCAGGUGCAAUUUUUGUUUUCCUUUUGAAGCAUGAGUAGGAGUAGAUGCAAGGUAGUUGAAGAAGUGUGCUAUUUCUUGACCCUUAAUGAAUCGAUAAGCUCCCGAGAGCCGGAAGCAUGUUUUACUCCUCUGUUUUAGCUCUUACCAUACUACUUACGAAUAUUUAUUUGCUUGAAUAAAACAAGGGACGUCAACUUAGGCUUUUGGAAAGCUUUCAUUUUGAUUUUUACCUAGGUAAUGCACUAAUUAUUCUAUUGAAAUAUAUUUUUUCCAGCUUAGAAACUUACAUUUAAAAAAAAAUGUAAUUAUCCAUCAUAUUAUCCCAAGAAUUAGCAAUUAUGUGUUUGGUCUUGUUAUUCUUUGACUAUUCAAGGACUACUUUUGUGUGUUUAUACAUACCUGUGUGUUUAGCAUCAAAACAAAUUAUUGCAUUGCAAUUAUUCACAUUGUCAGGCUCAUUACACAGCCUGAAAAGUACUUGAUUCUAGUCAUAAGUCCUUCAUAUCAACCAUGAAAAUUUGCUCAAACCUACAUUUCCUGAGCCUGAAAGAAUCAGCCUGGCUGGUUUAUCUAGAUAAAUAACAGACUCCACCUUGCCUUUAAAAACUGCCUAUUAGGAUGAACAUGAUACAGAUUAUCUUUAGCUUCUGAAUAUAAAAUUUUGCCACACUUUACACAUAGUAACUUUUCACUAUUGUGUAUAUUGAAUGAUUACUUCAAAAGCCGUCAAGAUGGAACCAAGAAAGAUGAAACCAUUUGCAAGGCCAUAUUUGGGGAGCAUAGUGUUCCCAAGGUUUUAUUGGUAUUUUCCAUUCUGAUUCUACCAUCCUACCGUUUGGGGGAACUUAACAUUUUCUCAUUAGAAGAUGUCUGGUGCUAAAAUAGAAGGUAGUUAAUCAGAACUGAGGAGAUGUGCAGUGCAUACACUUAUUAAGGAGCAAUCCGCUGGCUCCUUAUUAUGGCUCUGAGUUCCCAGGCAACACCUUCCCUCUUUUUUUUUUUUUUUUUUUUUU